CCAAUCGAGUGAAGCAGUAGCGAGAGUAACCUAGCCGUCUCUGCCUCGCCGCCAUAGAGCUCCGCCUCGCUGGACCGUUGGCUUGUCGCCGAAGAGCUCUGCCUCGCCGGGCCAUCGGCCGCGGGCACCUGAUCCACAUCCACCGUUCGCCGGUCCACGCAAGGGCGAACGAAAAGAAACAGUGGUGCCUGGCGUGGCCUAUGAGGGAGGAGGCAGCGGCGGCAGUGGAUCGAGCUCAUGCAAACGCGCAACUGCUGUUUGCAAAAUCAGCAAGCGCAACCAGCAGGGAAUCUUUAAAAAGAUGAAGCCAAUUGCUACUUAUUUUGCAACUCCACCGUCUAAUGAAUCUCAAGCUCCUGUUCAUGUUCAUGUUCCUGAACCUGAUGCAAACAUUUUAUCCACUGAAGCCUCAGAUGCAAACAUUGUAGAAGAUCUAGUUCCUGAACAUGAAGUGUAUAAUGAGGGCUCUCAUGAUAACACUUUGCAAACUUCUAUUCUAGGAUUUAGUCCAACUCACAUUGAACCUGAUCCUGGACUCUGGAAACAAAUUGGAGAUUAUCCUACUCCAGAAAUCAGAGAUGCAGUCAGGAGGGAGUAUUUGAAGAAAGGUCCAUGUCAGCCGUAUGGGCAUGAUUUUCCUCGCAACACUACAGAUAAAAGGGUAUUCAGAGAGGAGUGGUUUGAGGAGUUUGAUUGGCUAGAGUAUAGUGUAAAAGAAAACAAGGCAUACUAUUUUUACUGCUAUCUCUUCAAGCAGCCAGUAAGCAAUGUCAAGUUUGGGGGCAAUGUCUUCAAUUAGGAUGGGUAUAAAAAUUGGAAGAAAGCGAUGGAAUAUUUCAGGCUUCAUGAAGGUUCGACAAAGAGUGCUCACAACAAUGCUAGAAGACAUUGUACAGAUUUCAAGAACCAGAAACAAAGUGUGGCAUAUGCAAUGACUACUCAAACUGAGAGGUCACAUCUUGAAUACCAAGAUCGUUUAAUGGCUAUUAUGGGUGUUGUGAGGUAUCUUCUUAGGUAAGGACUCGCCUUUCGUGGCCACGAUGAGUCAAAGACUUCAAGAAAUAAGGGUAAUUUUCGUGAGUUGUUGGAUUGGUAUGCUAUAAGAUGCAAAGCUGCAGCUGAUGUACUCAAUGACAAUGCUCCUGGGAAUCAUCAAAUGACUUGUCAUGAAAUACAGAAGCAAAUGGUACAAGCUUGCGCAGAAAAGACCACCGAAGUUAGUGCUUCUUGUAAAAGAAAGGAUGCAUUAUUACAAAAGCAUCAUGAAAAGAUUGUGUGGCAAUUAGAAAAUGGGGAGAUUGUUAAAGGAAGAGGCAAACAUCAAGAGACAACUUUAGCAAGACCCGGUGAUACGCGAUGGGGAUCUCACCAUAGGACAUUGAUUCGGCUUCAUCAAAUGUGGGAUUCGGUGAUUCAAGUGCUACAUGCUAUUUCUCAUGAUGGGGAGGAUGCGGAUGAUAGAGGCAAAGCAUCAGGUUUGAUGAAAUCUAUGGAGGUCUUUGAAUUUGUUCUGAUCUUACAUUUGAUGCUUAAAGUGCUUGGUUUGACUAAUGACUUGUCACAAGCAUUGCAACAAAAGGAUCAAAACAUAGUAAGUGCAAUGAACAUGAUUGUGUCUGUUAAAAGUUUAUUGCAACAGCUAAGGGAUGACAGAUGGGAGGCACUUUUGGUGGCUGCCACUUCGUUUUGUAUUAAAAGAGAGAUACCAGUGCCUAGUAUGGAUGAAAAUAUACUAGCAAGGGGUUACCCAAGGAGUUCCCGCAAAAUGUUGUGGCAGUCUUGCUAAUCUUGCUCUCAAGUUGGUUGAAACUAAGGAACAUUUACACUUUCCUUUGGUUUACCGACUCAUCACACUUGCUUUGACUUUGCCAGUAGCGACGACAUCUGUUGAAAGAGUUUUCUCAGCCAUGAAUAUCAUUAAGACAGAUUUGAGAAAUAAGAUAUCUGAUGAUUGGUUGAAUGAUCUGAUGAUAUGCUAUGUAGAGCGAGAUAUAUUUGCUGGAAUUGAUGACAAGAAGAUCAUAGAACAUUUUCACAGCUUGAGAGACCGUAGAGGCCAUCUACCAAACCCUCCCCGUAAACUUACGACUUAGGGUAUCUCUUAGUCAUGGAGUUGGACAUUUUGGGCCAUGGAAUGCAUUAUUCAAGCAGCGGGAGUCCAAGUUAGUAGUCAUGUGUGACGUCUAUGUUAUAUUUUGUGAUUUUAGGUGGUUACAACCUAGUUCUUGAGAAUCUUCAACUGUCCUGGAUCAUUGGUCAUGUAAAUUUUUGAAUGCAUCUAGCUUCAUAUUUGAAUUUUAUGAGAUUUGGUUCAGCGGACUUGCAUUCAUCAAACAAAUUUUUUAUU